UACAGAGGGGGCAAGCGUUGUUCGGAAUUACUGGGCGUAAAGGGCGCGUAGGCGGCCUGUUAAGUCGAACGUGAAAUCCCCGGGCUCAACCCGGGAACUGCGUCCGAUACUGGCAGGCUUGAAUCCGGGAGAGGGAUGCGGAAUUCCAGGUGUAGCGGUGAAAUGCGCAGAUAUCAGGAGGAACACCAAUGGCGAAGGCAGCACUCUGGGACGUGACUGACGCUGAGACGCGAAAGCGUGGGGAGCAAACAGG
rnacentral:rRNA from 1 species